GACGAACGCUGGCGGCGUGCUUAACACAUGCAAGUCGAACGGAAAGGCCCUGCUUUUGUGGGGUGCUCGAGUGGCGAACGGGUGAGUAACACGUGAGUAACCUUCCCUUGACUUUGGGAUAACUUCAGGAAACUGGGGCUAAUACCGGAUAGUAGCUCCUGCUGCAUGGUGGGGGUUGGAAAGUUUCGGCGGUUGGGGAUGGACUCGCGGCUUAUCAGCUUGUUGGUGGGGUAGUGGCUUACCAAGGCUUUGACGGGUAGCCGGCCUGAGAGGGUGACCGGCAACAUGGGGACUGAGAUACGGCCAAGACUCCUACGGGAGGCAGAAGUGGGGAAUAUUGCAAAAUGGGCGGAAGCCUGAUGCAGCAACGCCGCGUGCGGGAUGACGGCCUUCGGGUUGUAAACCGCUUUCGCCUGUGACGAAGCGUGAGUGACGGUAAUGGGUAAAGAAGCACCGGCUAACUACGUG
rnacentral:rRNA from 1 species